AUGAACGCUGGCGGCGUGCCUAAUACCUGCAAGUCGAGCGAACAGACGAGGAGCUUGCUCCUCUGACGUUAGCGGCGGACGGGUGAGUAACACGUGGAUAACCUACCUAUAAGACUGGGAUAACUUCGGGAAACCGGAGCUAAUACCGGAUAAUAUAUUGAACCGCAUGGUUCAAUAGUGAAAGACGGUUUUGCUGUCACUUAUAGAUGGAUCCGCGCCGCAUUAGCUAGUUGGUAAGGUAACGGCUUACCAAGGCAACGAUGCGUAGCCGACCUGAGAGGGUGAUCGGCCACACUGGAACUGAGACACGGUCCAGACUCCUACGGGAGGCAGCAAUAGGGAAUCUUCCGCAAUGGGCGAAAGCCUGACGGAGCAACGCCGCGUGAGUGAUGAAGGUCUUCGGAUCGUAAAACUCUGUUAUUAGGGAAGAACAAAUGUGUAAGUAACUAUGCACGUCUUGACGGUACCUAAUCAGAAAGCCACGGCUAACUACGUG
rnacentral:rRNA from 1 species